rnacentral:rRNA from 1 species
GACGAACCGUGCGACCGUUAUUCGGAAUCACUGGGCUUAAAGGGCGCGUAGGCGGGCCCGCAAGUCAGGGGUGAAAUCCCACGGCUCAACCGUGGAAGUGCCUUUGAUACUGCGGGCCUGGAGGGAGGUAGGGGCGUGCGGAACUUCCGGUGGAGCGGUGAAAUGCGUAGAUAUCGGAAGGAACACCGGUGGCGAAAGCGGCGCGCUGGACCUCUACUGACGCUGAGGCGCGAAAGCCAGGGGAGCAAACGGG